GUAGAAUGUGAUAGACACUGAAAGCAUGGAUGUGGUAAAAGAAGAUUUAAUUUCAACACAAAUGUGUUCGAUUCCUUGGAAAACCAUGGGAGAAAAAAAAAAAGGACAGUGUAUCGAGUAAAUUAUUGGCUACAAGAAGAGAACCUUCAAGUUUAUUAGGCUGGGGUUGGAAAGGUUUCUGAGGAUCUAGUAACCAAGUCAAUGCACCAGCAUGUUGAGGAAUGAACUGUCUUAAUAGGCUUCCAAAUUCUUCUGCUCUGCUCAUGACAAGAAUUGGUAAUUGCCUGUCUACUGGAUUACAUCAGCCACUACAGAUU